rnacentral:rRNA from 1 species
UACGUAGGUGACCAGCGUUGUCCGGAUUUACUGGGCGUAAAGAGCGCGCAGGCGGUCGUUCAAGUCGAGUGUGAAAGCCCCCGCUCAACCGGGAGGGUGCGCCGAAUACUGAAUGACUUGGAGUGCGGGAGAGGAAAGUGGAAUUCCUGGUGUAGCGGUGAAAUGCGUAGAUAUCAGGAGGAACACCGGUGGUGUAGACGGCUUUCUGGACCGUAACUGACGCUGGAGACACGAAAGCGUGGGUAGCAAACAGG